UCAUAAAAAAUCAUUUGUCAAAAAACUUCCAAAGAUAAGAUUCAUAUCAAACCAAUGUCCUCUCUCUCUCUCUCUAUCUCUCUCCAAAAUAUGGAAGAAAUUGAGGAUCAAAAUGCAGAGAAAUCUUACUUCCAAAUCGAAUCCUCACAAUUUCUCCUCCCAUGAUGCGGAUGAGGUACGUCUCCCAAAUUUUCGAUUUCUUCCCACUUCACUAAAACCCUAAAUCGAUUGAUGCUUUCUUUCUCGUUCAUUCCAUUGUUGAUUUGAAAGUCGAAGAUGAAGAGUGUCGAUCGAUUCUCGGAAAUCCGCCAUUGUCCAUGGAGAUUGAAAGCAGAGCUUAAAUUAUUGGAAAUCCAGAAGGUUCGAGUUUCUUCUUUCGAAUUUGCAGAGUGGCUGUUUUGAAGAACGAUUGAAUGAAAGAUGAUUUUGUAGGAACUUGUCUCGAAGAACAGAAAAUUGAAGGUUCUGAAACAGAGAAAAGAGACUCUUGAAGAUGAAGUUGGAAAUUACAGAACCGUAGUCAUGAUUUAGAAAACUUGCCCAUGGUUCUGGAAUCGAAACAGAAUCUGGUAUGAACCCAUAUGACAUUUCUUUCUUCUUCACUAUAGAUAGAUUGAUUGAAAAAAUUUAAUGGAGGACUGAGAUUGCAGGAUGGUGUCGAGGAAGAUAAGGAGAAGCCUCCGGAUAAUGCAUACACAAAAUCGUUUGUUUAAAUCUAUGAACAAUAUAGUGGAAGUGAUAAGUGAUUACCGUAUAAACAUUGAGAUGAGAUUUAAUACUGUUUUGGUCUUAUUUUUAGUUAUGUAUAGUGUAAAAAAAUAGAAUUCAUUGAUUGGUUUGAUGGAAUCAUAGAUAUUAUUUAUGGCUGCA